rnacentral:rRNA from 1 species
CAAUCUUAACGAUGGAUGUCUUGGUUCCUACAGCGAUGAAGGCCGCAGCAAAAUGCGAUAAGCAAUGAAAAUUGCAGUGACUGUGAAUCAUCAGAAUGCUGAAUGUAAACUACACCAAUUCCCCUUAAAGGAAUAUGGUACUCCUACAUU